rnacentral:rRNA from 1 species
GUGGGGAAUAUUGGACAAUGGGCGAAAGCCUGAUCCAGCCAUGCCGCGUGUGUGAAGAAGGUCUUCGGAUUGUAAAGCACUUUAAGUUGGGAGGAAGGGCAGUAAGUUAAUACCUUGCUGUUUUGACGUUACCGACAGAAUAAGCACCGGCUAACUUCGUGCCAGCAGCCGCGGUAAUACGAAGGGUGCAAGCGUUAAUCGGAAUUACUGGGCGUAAAGCGCGCGUAGGUGGUUCAGCAAGUUGGAGGUGAAAUCCCCGGGCUCAACCUGGGAACUGCCUACAAAAAUACUGGGCUAGAGUACGGUAGAGGGUAGUGGAAUUUCCUGUGUAGCGGUGAAAUGCGUAGAUAUAGGAAGGAACACCAGUGGCGAAGGCGACUACCUGGACUGAUACUGACACUGAGGUGCGAAAGCGUGGAGAGCAAACAGGAUUAGAAACCCUAGUAGUCC